UACGUAGGGUGCAAGCGUUACUCGGAAUUACUGGGCGUAAAGCGUGCGCAGGCGGUUUUGUAAGUCUGUUGUGAAAUCCCCGGGCUUAACCUGGGAAUGGCAAUGGAGACUGCAAGGCUAGAGUUUGGCAGAGGGGGGUAGAAUUCCACGUGUAGCAGUGAAAUGCGUAGAGAUGUGGAGGAACACCGAUGGCGAAGGCAGCCCCCUGGGUCAAAACUGACGCUCAUGCACGAAAGCGUGGGGAGCAAACAGG
rnacentral:rRNA from 1 species